GACGUAGGGCGCGAGCGUUGUCCGGAUUUAUUGGGCGUAAAGAGCUCGUAGGCGGCUCAUUGCGUCAACCGUGAAAACCAGCAGCUCAACUGUUGGCUUGCGGUUGAUACGGGUGGGCUGGAGUUCGGUAGGGGGAGACUGGAAUUCCUGGUGUAGCGGUGAAAUGCGCAGAUAUCAGGAGGAACACCAAUGGCGAAGGCAGCUCGCUGGGGACGUGACUGACGCU
rnacentral:rRNA from 1 species